rnacentral:rRNA from 1 species
UAGCGUAUAUUAAAGUUGUUGCAGUUAAAACGCUCGUAGUCGGAUUUCGGGGCGGGCCGACCGGUCUGCCGAUGGGUAUGCACUGGCUGGCGCGUCCUUCCUUCCGGAGACCGCGCCUACUCUUAACUGAGCGGGCGUGGGAGACGGAUCGUUUACUUUGAAAAAAUCAGAGUGUUUCAAGCAGGCAUCUCGCUCUUGCAUGGAUUAGCAUGGGAUAAUGAAAUAGGACUUUGGUGCUAUUUUGUUGGUUUCGAACACCGAAGUAAUGAUUAACAGGGACAGUCAGGGGCACUCGUAUUCCGUCGAGAGAGGUGAAAUUCUCAGACCAACGGAAGACGAACCACUGCGAAAGCAUUUG